GAUUGUGGGUAACUUAUAAAUUACUCCUAGGGAUAAAUGUACGUCUCAUUGGGACGAAUC
rnacentral:misc_RNA from 1 species